GAUGAACGCUGGCGGCGUGCCUAAUACAUGCAAGUCGAGCGAACAGAUGAGGAGCUUGCUCCUCUGACGUUAGCGGCGGACGGGUGAGUAACACGUGGAUAACCUACCUAUAAGACUGGGAUAACUUCGGGAAACCGGAGCUAAUACCGGAUAAUAUAUUGAACCGCAUGGUUCAAUAGUGAAAGACGGUUUUGCUGUCACUUAUAGAUGGAUCCGCGCCGCAUUAGCUAGUUGGAAGGUAACGGCUUACCAAGGCAACGAUGCGUAGCCGACCUGAGAGGGUGAUCGGCCACACUGGAACUGAGACACGGUCCAGACUCCUACGGGAGGCAGCAGUAGGGAAUCUUCCGCAAUGGGCGAAAGCUUGACGGAGCAACGCCGCGUGAGUGAUGAAGGUCUUCGGAUCGUAAAACUCUGUUAUUAGGGAAGAACAAAUGUGUAAGUAACUAUGCACGUCUUGACGGUACCUAAUCAGAAAGCCACGGCUAACUACGUG
rnacentral:rRNA from 1 species